rnacentral:rRNA from 1 species
AACGAACGCUGGCGGCAGGCUUAACACAUGCAAGUCGAACGCAUCCUUCGGGGUGAGUGGCAGACGGGUGAGUAACGCGUGGGAACGUGCCCUUCAGUUCGGGAUAACCCAGGGAAACUUUGGCUAAUACCGGAUACGUGCGAGAGCAGAAAGAUUUAUCGCUGAAGGAUCGGCCCGCGUCUGAUUAGCUAGUUGGUGGGGUAAUGGCCCACCAAGGCGACGAUCAGUAGCUGGACUGAGAGGAUGAUCAGCCACAUUGGGAAUGAGACACCGCCCGAACUCCUACGGGAGGCAGCAGUGGGGAAUAUUGGACAAUGGGCGCAAGCCUGAUCCAGCCAUGCCGCGUGAGUGAUGAAGGCCUUAGGGUUGUAAAGCUCUUUCGUCCGGGACGAUAAUGACGGUACCGGAAGAAGAAGCCCCGGCUAACUUCGUGCCAGCCGCCGCGGUAA